rnacentral:rRNA from 1 species
UAGGGAAUCUUCCACAAUGGACGCAAGUCUGAUGGAGCAACGCCGCGUGAGUGAAGAAGGUUUUCGGAUCGUAAAGCUCUGUUGUUGGUGAAGAAGGAUAGGAGCAGUAACUGGUUUCUAUUUGACGGUAAUCAACCAGAAAGUCACGGCUAACUACGUGCCAGCAGCCGCGGUAAUACGUAGGUGGCAAGCGUUGUCCGGAUUUAUUGGGCGUAAAGCGAGCGCAGGCGGAAUGAUAAGUCUGAUGUGAAAGCCCACGGCUCAACCGUGGAACUGCAUCGGAAACUGUCAUUCUUGAGUGCAGAAGAGGAGAGUGGAACUCCAUGUGUAGCGGUGGAAUGCGUAGAUAUAUGGAAGAACACCAGUGGCGAAGGCGGCUCUCUGGUCUGCAACUGACGCUGAGGCUCGAAAGCAUGGGUAGCGAACAGGA